UGGGGAAUUUUCCGCAAUGGACGAAAGUCUGACGGAGCGACGCUGCGUGAAGGAUGAAGGCCCGUGGGUUGUAAACUUCUUUUCUCGAAGAAGAAAAAAAUGACGGUAUUCGAGGAAUAAGCAUCGGCUAACUCUGUGCCAGCACCCGCGGUAAGACAGAGGAUGCAAGUGUUAUUCGGAAUGAUUGGGCGUAAAGAGUCUGUAGGCGGUUUAGAAAGUCUUGUGUGAAAUACUUCAGCUCAACUGAGGCUCCGCAAAAGAAACUUCUAGACUUGAGGAAAGUAGAGGUACAGGGAAUUUCCGGUGGAGCGGUGAAAUGCGUAGAUAUCGGAAGGAACACCAAUAUGGCGAAGGCACUGUACUGGGCUUUUCCUGACGCUCAGAGACGAAAGCUGAAGGAGUGAUUAGGAUUAGAUACCCUAGUAAUUUCACCCGUAAACGAUGAAAACUCACUGUCGA
rnacentral:rRNA from 1 species